UUCAGGAGGCGAGCCAGCAAGUAAACCAGGAAGAAGAGACAUCAGAAAUAUCAACCACAGUCUCCUGUGGGUGCCUUGCCAAGACUUGCCACUUCCCCACGUCCUUGAAGUCAUUGCUCUGAGUCGUGGCUACACUGUACAAGGGUGAGUAAAGACCCCAAGAACCCUGAGCCGCCCCCUGGAGGCCGCCGUGCUCAAAGAGGGGAUGAGGGGAAGCGCAGGCAGCAAGGAGAGUGGGGAGAGGUAAG